rnacentral:sRNA from 1 species
GUAAAAGUUGAACGUUGAAUGAGCUUUUUUCCAGAACAGCACCAAAUAUUAUUGAAACAAAAUAUUCCUUUAAUAAGAUGCCAAAACAGGAAGAAAAUUAAAGCAUGAGCAAAACACUUUGUAUAAAUAAGCAUCUUUUAUCUUUAUAUAUAUAUCACCCCUAAAACUAAAGAACAAAUAAAUCUUAAAAAAAAGUUCACAAUGAAUUGUUUUUCUUAUUUUUUCCUUGUUAUUAUAUUAUGUGCAGGAUUGAAUAAUGCGAAAUUCAACGAAAAAAACUCCGUAAUUUUUAAGAGUUCUCUUGGUCCGAAAAAACUUCUCAGGAUUCAUUGUACAUCAGAACACGACGACACCGACUACGUUUACCUGAGACAUGGACAAACUUACGCAUUCAGUUUUCAUGAUAGUGUCUUGAAAACUAUAUUUGAUUGUGAGUUAAAGCAAGGAAGUAGUUAUUAUAAUUACAACUUUUAUGCAAGAUUUAGGGCAUAUAAAGGUGGAGGUCUGAUAGUUCACUACGGUAAAAAGAACUUUUGGGAUGCUAGAGAAGAUGGUAUUUACUUCACACAUGGUAAAGAAACACCUAAAUUAGAGUAUA